AUAGUUCUAUAACAAAACAAUUCGCCAGAGAACUACUAGCAACAGCUUAAAACUCAAAGGACUUGGCGGUGCUUUAUAUCCCUCUAGAGGAGCCUGUUCUAUAAUCGAUAAACCCCGAUAAACCUCACCAUCCCUUGCUAAUACAGUCUAUAUACCGCCAUCUUCAGCAAACAAUU
rnacentral:rRNA from 1 species